rnacentral:rRNA from 1 species
AAUUAGCGGGGAAAGAAGACCCUGUUGAGAUUGACUCUAGUACGACUUUGUGAAAUGACUUCAGAGGUGUAGGAUAAGUGGGAGCCAAAAGGCGAAAGUAAAAUACCACCACUUUUAACAUUAUUUUACUUAUUUCGUAAAUCGAAGGUGGGGCACUACCCCUCUUUUUGGACCCAAGGCUCACUUUGCGGGCUGAUCCAAGCAAAAGACAUUGUCGGUGAGGAGUUUGAUUGAGGUGGCACCUCUGUUAAAAGAUAAUGCAGGUGUCCUAAGAUGAGCUCAACGAAAAUAGAAAUUUCGUGUGGAACAGAAGAGUAAAAGCUCAUUUGAUUCUGAUUUCCAGUACGAAUACGAAUCGUGAAAGCGUGGCCUAACGAUCCUUUAGACCUUUGAAAUUUGAAGCUAGAGGUGUCAGAAAAGUUACCAUAGGGAUAACUAGUUUGUGGCAGCCAAGCGUUCAUAACAACAUUGCUUUUUGAUCCUUCGAUGUCGGCUCUUCCUAUCAUUGUCAAACAAAAUUCACCAAGUGUCGGAUUGUUCACCCACCAAUAGGAAAUGUGAGCUGGAUUAUGACUGAAUGCCGAUCGGCUAGUUUUAUCCUAUUGAUGAUAGUGUCAAAGUAGUAAUUCAACCUAGUACGAGAGAAACCAUUGAUUCACACAAUUUGUCAUCGCAAUUGGUUGAAAAGCCAGUGGCAUGAAGCUACCAUGUGUUGGAUUAUGACUGAAUGACUCUAAGUUAGAAUUUGGGCUAGAAGCGAUGAGCGCAUCUGCCAUUCACUUGCCGACCCGCAGUAGGGGCCUCAUGGCCC